GUGGAGGGCGCGUGCUACCAUGCAGUCGAACGAUGAUGCCCAGCUUGCUGGGCGGAUUAGUGGCGAACGGGUGAGUAAUACGUGAGUAACCUGCCCUUGACUCUGGGAUAAGCCUGGGAAACUGGGUCUAAUACUGGAUACUACCUCUUACCGCAUGGUGGGUGGUGGAAAGGGUUUUACUGGUUUUGGAUGGGCUCACGGCCUAUCAGCUUGUUGGUGGGGUAAUGGCUCACCAAGGCGACGACGGGUAGCCGGCCUGAGAGGGUGACCGGCCACACUGGGACUGAGACACGGCCCAGACUCCUACGGGAGGCAGCAGUGGGGAAUAUUGCACAAUGGGCGGAAGCCUGAUGCAGCGACGCCGCGUGAGGGAUGACGGCCUUCGGGUUGUAAACCUCUUUCAGUAGGGAAGAAGCGAGAGUGACGGUACCUGCAGAAGAAGCGCCGGCUAACUACGUGCCAGCAGCCGCGGUAAUACGUAGGGCGCAAGCGUUGUCCGGAAUUAUUGGGCGUAAAGAGCUCGUAGGCGGUUUGUCGCGUCUGCUGUGAAAGCCCGGGGCUCAACCCCGGGUCUGCAGUGGGUACGGGCAGACUAGAGUGCAGUAGGGGAGACUGGAAUUCCUGGUGUAGCGGUGAAAUGCGCAGAUAUCAGGAGGAACACCGAUGGCGAAGGCAGGUCUCUGGGCUGUUACUGACGCUGAGGAGCGAAAGCAUGGGGAGCGAACAGGAUUAGAUACCCUGGUAGUCCAUGCCGUAAACGUUGGGCACUAGGUGUGGGGGACAUUCCACGUUUUCCGCGCCGUAGCUAACGCAUUAAGUGCCCCGCCUGGGGAGUACGGCCGCAAGGCUAAAACUCAAAGGAAUUGACGGGGGCCCGCACAAGCGGCGGAGCAUGCGGAUUAAUUCGAUGCAACGCGAAGAACCUUACCAAGGCUUGACAUUCACCGGACCGCCCCAGAGAUGGGGUUUCCCUUCGGGGCUGGUGGACAGGUGGUGCAUGGUUGUCGUCAGCUCGUGUCGUGAGAUGUUGGGUUAAGUCCCGCAACGAGCGCAACCCUCGUUCUAUGUUGCCAGCACGUGAUGGUGGGGACUCAUAGGAGACUGCCGGGGUCAACUCGGAGGAAGGUGGGGAUGACGUCAAAUCAUCAUGCCCCUUAUGUCUUGGGCUUCACGCAUGCUACAAUGGCCGGUACAAAGGGUUGCGAUACUGUGAGGUGGAGCUAAUCCCAAAAAGCCGGUCUCAGUUCGGAUUGAGGUCUGCAACUCGACCUCAUGAAGUCGGAGUCGCUAGUAAUCGCAGAUCAGCAACGCUGCGGUGAAUACGUUCCCGGGCCUUGUACACACCGCCCGUCAAGUCACGAAAGUUGGUAACACCCGAAGCCGGUGGCCUAACCCCUUGUGGGAGGGAGCCGUCGAAGGUGGACGGCGAGG
rnacentral:rRNA from 1 species